AAUGAACGCUGGCGGCGCGCCUAAUACAUGCAAGUCGAGCGAGAAGACGUAGCAAUACGUUUGUAAAGCGGCGAACGGGUGAGGAAUACAUGGGUAACCUACCCUCGAGUGGGGAAUAACUAGCCGAAAGGUUAGCUAAUACCGCGUACGCCUCUUGGACUUCGGUUCAGGGAGGAAAGCGAUGCCGAGGGUAUCGCGCUCUUGGAUGGGCUCAUGUCCUAUCAGCUUGUUGGGAGGUAACGGCUCACCAAGGCUUCGACGGGUAGCUGGUCUGAGAGGACGACCAGCCACACUGGCACUGCGACACGGGCCAGACUCCUACGGGAGGCAGCAGUAAGGAAUAUUGCGCAAUGGGCGAAAGCCUGACGCAGCGACGCCGCGUGGGGGAUGAAGGUCUUCGGAUUGUAAACCCCUUU
rnacentral:rRNA from 1 species